rnacentral:rRNA from 1 species
UACCAGACUCCUACGGGAGGCAGCAGUGAGGAAUAUUGGUCAAUGGGCUUACGCCUGAACCAGCCAAGUCGCGUGAGGGAAGACGGUCCUAUGGAUUGUAAACCUCUUUAGGCGGGGAGCAAUGCCGGGCACGUGUGCCCGGAGGGAGAGUACCCGCAGAAUAAGCAUCGGCUAACUCCGUGCCAGCAGCCGCGGUAAUACGGAGGAUGCGAGCGUUAUCCGGAUUUAUUGGGUUUAAAGGGUGCGUAGGCGGAAGGCCAAGUCAGGGGUAAAAUCGCGGGGCUCAACCUCGCUCCGCCGUUGAAACUGGCGUUCUUGAGUGGGCGAGAAGUAUGCGGAAUGCGUGGUGUAGCGGUGAAAUGCAUAGAUAUCACGCAGAACUCCGAUUGCGACGGCAGCAUACCGGCGCCCAACUGACGCUGAAGCACGAAAGCGUGGGUAUCGAACAGGAUUAGAUACCCGAGUA